UGGGGAGUGGUGUAAUGGUAACACACCUGCCUUUGGAGCAGGUUACUCAAGGUUCGAAUCCUUGCUCCCCAA
rfam:Microgenomates (Roizmanbacteria) bacterium GW2011_GWA2_32_13 TR23_C0031, whole genome shotgun sequence.